AUACGGAGGAUCCGAGCGUUAUCCGGAUUUAUUGGGUUUAAAGGGUGCGUAGGCGGGAGAUUAAGUCGGUGGUGAAAUUUUGCAGCUCAACUGUAAAAGUGCCAUUGAUACUGGUUUCCUUGAGUGUGGAUGAAGUAGGCGGAAUUUGUGGUGUAGCGGUGAAAUGCAUAGAUAUCACGAGGAACUCCGAUUGCGCAGGCAGCUUACUAAACCAUAACUGACGCUCAGGCACGAAGGCGUGGGGAUCAAACAGGAUUAGAUACCCUGGUAGUCCACGCAGUAAACGAUGAUUACUCGCUGUUUGCGAUACACAGCAAGCGGCUUAGCGAAAGCGUUAAGUAAUCCACCUGGGGAGUACGUUCGCAAGAAUGAAACUCAAAUGAAUUGACGGGG
rnacentral:rRNA from 1 species